rnacentral:rRNA from 1 species
AUGCUGGGCGUGCGGAACCAGAAGCUUUCGGCGUACGAGAAGGAGUUCCUCGCCGUGAUGAUGGAAAUCGACAAGUGGCGCCCGUACCUGCAGUGUGCAUCGUUCGAGAUCGUCACCGAUCACAAGAGCAUGUGUUCCUUGGGCGAUCAACAGCUCAUCACAGAUCUACAGCGCAAGGCCAUGUCCAAGAUGGUGGGGCUGCAGUUCACUUUCUGCUACAAGAAGGGCACCGACAACGGUGCGGCCGAUGCGCUCUCCAGGGUGGGGCACUUACUGGCCCUUGACGCGCUCUCGGUGUGCCAACCCCAGUGGUUACAAGAGGUGGCCAACUCUUACGAGACGGACGCGGACGCCCGAGAGCUACUCGCCAAGCUGGCUCUCCGCGACACCGUCGACUAG